rnacentral:rRNA from 1 species
CCAGGCCCUACGGGGCGCAGCAGGCGCGAAACCUUCGCACUGCGCGAAAGCGCGACGAGGGGAGACCGAGUGCCUCUCCUUUUUUGGGGAGGCUUUUCACAAGCCUAAAAAGCUUGUGGAAUAAGGGCUGGGCAAGACGGGUGCCAGCCGCCGCGGUAAUACCCGCAGCUCAAGUGGUGGUCGCUUUUAUUGAGCCUAAAACGUUCGUAGUCGGCUUUGUAAAUCCUUGGGUAAAUCGGGCCGCUCAACGGUUCGAAUUCUGAGGAGACUGCAAAGCUAGGGACCGGGCGAGGUCAGAGGUACUUUCGGGGUAGGAGUGAAAUCCUGUAAUCCCGAAGGGACCACCUGUGGCGAAAGCGUCUGACUUGAACGGCUCCGACGAUGAGGAACGAAGGCUAGGGGAGCAAACCGGAUUAGAUACCCGGGUAGUCCUAGCUGUAAACUCUGCCCGCUUGGUGUGGCCUGUUCUUCGGGAGCAGGCUGUGCCGGAGCGAAGGUGUUAAGCGGGCUGCUUGGGGAGUACGGCCGCAAGGUUGAAACUUAAAGGAAUUGGCGGGGGAGCACCGCAACGGGAGGAUGCGUGCGGUUUAAUUGGAUUCAACGCCGGAAAACUCACCUGAGGCGACCAGCGUAUGUGUGUCAGGCUGAAGACCUUACUCGAACAAAAGCUGGAGAGGUGGUGCAUGGCCAUCGUCAGCUCGUACCGUAGGGCAUUCACUUAAGUGUGAUAACGAGCGAGACCCCCAUCCCUAGUUGCCAACUUUUCCGAAGGGAAAGGUGCACUCUAGGGAGACCGCUUCUGCUAAAGAAGAGGAAGGAGGGGUCGACGGUAGGUCAGUAUGCCCCGAAUCCUCAGGGCUACACGCGCGCUACAAAGGACAGGACAAAGGGUUCCAACCCCGAAAGGGGAAGGUAAUCCCAAAACCUGUUCGUAGUCCGGAUUGAGGGCUGUAACUCGCCCUCAUGAAGAUGGAUUCCGUAGUAAUCGCGGAUCAACAGUCCGCGGUGAAUAUGCCCCUGCUCCUUGCACACACCGCCC